AGCAGGAUAAGCUAACUGACAAGCUGUUGGGCUCAUAACCCAAAAAUAGAACUUUCUUCCUGCUACC
rnacentral:tRNA from 1 species